AGCCAGGCAGCCCUUGAGAAGUGCACGCACAGCUGUGCUUACAGGUGUCCCCGGUUAAGAAAUCCUAAUGUGAUUAAAAAAAAAAGUUUGAUUUUGUUAUUUUAAAAAAUUAUUGGACUAGCCUGGCAGUGUUGCUCAGUGGUUUGAGCGUCAACUCAGGGGCCUGGAUGUGCAGUAUUUCAUGAGAAGCUAUCCCUGCCUGGGUACUUCUGAUUGUUCAUUAUGUAUGAAGUGGAAAAAGCCAGUUGCAAAGUAAUAAAAGCCCAGUUCAAUCCUGAGAAAAUCAUCAGACAGUAGAGACAGUCCAGUAAAGGGGAAUUCUACCAUGUCCCUGACCAGCCCAACUCACAACUGCCAAGAUCAUCAAAAGGAAAGUCAGAAACUGUCACAACCAAGAGGAGCCUAAAGAGACAUGACAACUAAAUGCAGUGUGGUGUCUGGGAUGGUAUCAUGAACUAAAAAAGGAUAUCAGGUUAAAACUAAGAACUUUAGUUAAUAAUGCUGUGUUAAUAUUGAUUCAUUAAUUAUAACAAA